rnacentral:rRNA from 1 species
UACGUAGGCAGCAAGCGUUGUUCGGACUUACUGGGCGUAAAGAGUGUGUAGGUGGUGUCGUAAGUUUGGUGUGAAAUCUCCCGGCUUAACUGGGAGGGUGCGCCGAAGACUGCGAUGCUGGAGUAUGGGAGAGGAAAGCGGAAUUCCUGGUGUAGCGGUGAAAUGCGCAGAUAUCAGGAGGAACACCAAUGGCGAAGGCGGGUCUCUGGGCCGAUAUUGACGCUGAGGAGCGAAAGCGUGGGGAGCGAACAGG